rnacentral:misc_RNA from 1 species
CCCUUCUCUUUCUUUCCGUUUAUAUCCUUGUUUAAUUAAUUAAUACUAAAUAAGUAACCAUUAUUAAAACAUGUGAUUCUUAUCCUUGCUUUGCUUCAUAUAAAUUCUCUCUCUUGAUCCACUCAUUUCACCUUUUUCUCUCAUUUUCCGGAGACAAAUUACCAUAUUUUCUCCGUAUUACAUCACAUUGUCUUUUCUUUUAUAUCUCUAAUCACUUUACCUGUUUUGGAAUUCAAUUUAUUCGCUUUGAUCCUGUAAUGAUACUCUUCAUUUCUGAAAUAGUGGCAAUAGUGGAAAGUAAAUUAAGUGAUUAGGAGACAGUUUAUUGAUGCGCACAUUCACGUGCUGGGUGUAUCUGCAAGUUUAAAUUUAGAGAGUAGAUUACUGUAUUAAAAUGAAUUGGAAUCCGCUUAUGGAACUUCAUUACACGAACACUAGCUACCCUUAUAAUUCGGCCGGAAGUUUUAUGGAAUAUUUUGAAGGACUUACAUAUGAACAUGUGAAUUUCAUUUUUGAUGGGGCUUCCCAAGUUCAGGAAAGUGUGUACCCCUCAAUGAAUGCAAAUUUCUACAAGUUCAGCUUGUCUCAACCUGGGAGUAGUUUAUAUUAUGAUCAUAGUCAUGCUUAUCAGGUCCAGGAUCACGGUUCGCAAAUUGAUGACUAUGGAAGGCCCCUGGAGCAUUCUUCAACUGUGACUAAUGUGCCAACUGCUGUUGUAAGUGCAGAAUGGGAAAGAAAUGAAAACAUGACUACUUCAAAUGACCCUGUGGAAUGUAAGUUCUAACUUCUGAGUUUCAUUUUGGUGCUAUUUUUCCCAGUGAAAAGGAUGAUAAUUUUUCUAUGGGGGAUGAUGGUACAUAACCUUAAAGUGGAUGGAGAGUGGUGAGUGGAGAGAUAAAGGGGAGAGGGAACAGAGAGGGAGAGAAUCUCCUGAGGUGAUUGCUCUUCUCAGUGCACAUUUCAUGGCCAAAUGGGCUGCUAAUUUCCCAAAGCAGGAUGAGCCUUCAAAAUUAGAGAAGAGAGGGAGAAAGAGAAGAGGGGGCGCAGGGAAGAUGCUCAAACUUUAAAUUAGUAAUAUUCACGUUAAAAGUGGCAGUGGGACCUAACCAAGCUGGUGGAAGGACUCUUAAGUUGGGCAUCAUAGUAGGAAGGUUGAAAUAAGAUCUAAUGUAAGCUGAGAGAUUCUUUAAAAUUGCUUAUCGACCUUUUUUAUAAGAGAAUAUAACGUACAACAAGUAUAUGCAAAGAAUGAAGCAAUUGAAGCAGAGUCUUUCAAGAAAUACUUAUUCAUUGGAGACCACAAACAAGAUGAAAGGAAAGACCUUACAUGAAACCUUCUUCUUAAUCCUCUCCCUUGAGCAAAUCUAUUGAGGAAAGCAAUUGAACCUGGUCAUAAACCUCUGAUGAUGUUUAUAUUGAAACAUCGCAUGCUUCACCAUUAAUUUUAUUGUUUCAUUGUCAUUGUUGUUGUCCUUUUUCACCCUAAAUCAGGGUCAUUCAGAAUCUUGGCAUGUGUUAGUUGUUCUGCCAAUUAUGAUAAAUCUUUCCCCUAUGGAUUUAAUUUACUGAUAUUAUCAUAUAUGAAUUACAGUGCAGCAAAGCACUCUUUGCUGAUCUUUUGCUUUCAUGUUUUACAUUUUAGUUAGUUGGUCGAGGGUUAAAACUUAGUUGAAUUGAAUAGUAUCUUUUAUGUACUCAUAUAUUUGUAUUUGCUGGUUUCUUCUUUCUUGUCUUGUACCUUUUUCAUUUGCCACUUUUUCCUCUAUUUUAACAUCUUCAAUUUUCAGGUCUGCGGAGACAUCAGAAUGCUCAAGAUUUUCAGGUUAUUUGGCAAGACAACGUUGAUCCUGACAAUAUGAGUUAUGAGGUUAGAGAAUAAAUUUCCAUUUUUGCCCCUUUGUAGUUUUGUGCAUUUUAGUAUUGCUGAACCUGUAUAUUGUUUCUCUUAUCCUUAUUGUGUGGUCCAAUUAUUGGUUCCCUUACUUGACAGAAGGAAUUGGAAAAAAGGUACACUUUGAGUUUUAUAGAGUUCCCAGACUUGGAUUGGGAAGCUUUAGCAGAUCAUAAAUUUUUGUUUCUGCAUUUAAAAUUCCGGUGCAUGGUUUUAUAGAUAGAGUUCCACUCUGAUGCUGCUCUAGGUGAGCUUUAUUCAGUGCCUGAGAAUGAGAGUGGGUAAGAGAUGGUAAUUUUUUAUUUACAGAUGCCUGAGCUAUUUAGUUGAGUACGAGUUAUUUCUGGUAUCACCUAAGGGUUAGUAAUUUAUACGUAUCAUAUUUUGAGUUAGAGCUGAGUAAUAGGCCCGUAAUCAGUGGUGAAAAAUGAAAAUUGGCCCAGUGGGCCAAUGCAUUAUUAAUUUUACACACUCUCUCUCUCUCUCUCAUUAUUUAUGUUUUUUUAAACUAGGCUCAAAGAAUUCAUUUGGGUCAAUUAGCCACAUUGGAGCAUAUGACUCCCCACGCAUGUCUAUGUACAUAAGGCAUGCAAUGAUUGACAUCUUUUUCUAAGGAGACCAAAUAUACCAAGUACACUAGAUUAACUCAUUUUAGUUCCAUGAUUUCUGUUCUGAUCAUAGCCAAAAGUCAAAUUCUGUGGUGGGAUAUUGUUCCUGUGUGCAUUUACUCAUGUUGGAGUUAGAGAGUAAUCCUAGGCUGAUGAUCAUUUAUUCUAAGCCAAUGUUUUUCAGCCUUCUGGAGGAAAAUUUCCUUUAAGAAGAUGACAUGCCAAGCCAGUUCGGCCUCAUUGGUUGUCACAUGUGGAAGUGAACUUGUUUAGCAUUGUUAGAAACAUUAAUUUGCUUUAUUGGGAUGAAAUGGAGGUUACGUUCCCUCUUCUCAGCUUUUUCCCCCAUCCUUUGAGUGAUGUUUCCAGAUAUAUAACAUUUUGUUUUCUAAUAAAAUGGGUAGUUUUUAGUUCACUCUUUUACUUGUAAAAAUUAUCAUGGCAUGUGAAGUUCCAAAAUUAAAAGAAAAUGUUCACGGUUGAAACUCUCUGGUCUCAUAAAUGUUUAUUAUUUGUGUUUGGUUGACUUCUGUUUUAAUUGGAAUGUUUUGGAUAAUUGUUUUUUUUUUUUUUAAACCAAAUCUUUCCCAUUCAGGAAUUACUAGAGUUAGGUGAGGCAGUUGGAGCUCAAAGUCGUGGUCUUUCCCAAGAACUUAUUUCCUUGCUUCCAGUGUCAAAGUACAAGCGCUGCUUUUUCUCAAGAAGGAAAUCAAGAAGUGAGAGGUACUAUUUUGGGCUUAUAUUUGGUGUGUACUGAUGUCCAUUUCUUGUUCACAGUUCCCUGCCUCAGGGUUACCCCCCGCCCCCCACAAAAAUGACAGAAAGGAAGGGAAGUGGCAUGAAGUUGUGGUGCAAUCACAACUGUUAUUUUAAUUUAAUAAUUUGGUUGUCUGCAGAGCCAGUUUGAUUUGAUUGGUUACUUGAAAGAUGUCUUGAAAAGCUUUGAUUACCUUCAUUUGAAUGUUAAAUUAACAAUUAAAUUAACUGCUGCAUGUUUAAUUGGUCUUUUGGAUGAUCUCUUGAUAAACUUUUCCAAGAGGAGUUAAUGUUUGCCUAAGCUUUAUUGAUUUGGUUAGACAUUUAAUUACCUGCUGUUUAGAAAUCUAGUGCCGUAUAAGUUCAAGGCAUGAAAAUAUGUUCGAGGACUCUGUACACGGGAUGCUGGUUGCUAGUCAUGGAUCUAGUCAGAUGCCUUUUAUUUGAUUUUAUUUUAUUUUUGAAAAGAAAUCAGAUACCUUUUAACUAUUUGAUAAAUAAUUGUAAUGAAAUGAAUGAUGAAUCUGUAACUGGUCCAAUUAAUAAGAAUGCAUUGGACCUGGAUAAUACAAAUGAUUCACCGUGGUCCUUGCUACUGAUAUGAUAUUAUGUGCUGUUAAAGUUGAUUGUUUUCUACCAUUAUGUGUUAUUUCUAGAAUCCAGCGAGAAAUGUGACAGAAUUACCUUACUCUCUUUCCUUAUUCCUUUUUCCUCCUAAGAUUGAGAGCCAUUUGGUAUUUUUAAAUUCAUAAAUUGAUGCAAUGGGAUUUGGUAGCAAGAUAAGGGGUCAACAUAGAGAAAAGUAAAAAAAUGCUGUGGGUAUUAGAGAUGCACUCUUCCUUAUCAUGUGAUUUUUGCUUGCCAGCACAUGGAGGCCACUGAUAUGUUUAUAAUUUGCAUGGUCACAUUUCCAUUAUGAGAUCAAUAUUUGUCUUGCCACCUAAGCCUUGAACGUGCCUUUCCAUCCCUACCGUAUUGCCUAACCUUUUUUUUUUUU